ACGCUCGACACCUACGGGGCGGCAGCAGGUGGGGAAUAUUGCACAAGUGGGGGAAACCCUGAUGCAGCGACGCCGCGUGGAGGAAGAAGGUCUUCGGAUUGUAAACUCCUGUUGUUAGGGGAAAAAGAGGAUGGUACCCAACAAGGAAGUGACGGCUAACUACGUGCCAGCACGCCGACGGUAAUCUGAGGCGGGCGUGGCGAAGGC
rnacentral:rRNA from 1 species